UAUAUAUAGUUGAGCUGGAAUGCUAUCGUAGCAAACGGGCUCCGUUGCCAGCCAUUUGUUUUUGAUGAUGGAGCCUUCGAAUUGACGAUCGACACCAUUGAAUAUGAUCUAUACCACUUAAAGUAUUUAUAAACCAAAUUUCAAAUCUUUUCGAUAUCAUUGACCUAAUGAUCAAAAAAUUUCAAAAUUUAUAAUUUUAGUGGUAGAUAUGAGGUGUUUUCGCGUUUAACGGUGUAAAGUUAUCCAAAUCAAUUGAAUUUUGGUUAGAAAAUUCUUUAAACUAUUUAGAACAAGAUCUAUACUCUUGAUCAUGAUUAUAAAAUUUCUAUCAGCACUUUUUAGAGGAUAUUAAUUUUCAGCCGUUCAUUUUUACGCCCACUUGAUGGAUAAGAGAACAAUAUCGGAAAAACAUGAAAUUUGAUUUCUAGAUACUUCAUGUGGUAUAGAUUAUGUUCAACGGUGCCGAUCGUCGAUUUGGAGGCUCCAUCAUCGAAAACAAAUGGGUGGCAACGGAGCCCGUUUGCUACCGAUAGUAUUCCAGCUCAAUUAUAAAUAUAUAUAUAUAUAUAUAUAUAAAAGCACGUAUAUUCAAAUUUGGGUCUGUCGACAGACCCAUUUUUCGGCGGAAAAAUUAGCGCCCAUUUUUCUCUUUCCGUACGAAAAAUUUUAAAUAUAAGAAUAAAAAUAGAAAUAGAAACAGCAAUGAAUACAUAAGUUCUCUAUAACAGAUUAUUGAUGAGAAAAUUCUAAAAUAUAAAUCUUUUUAUUUAAUUUCAAAAGUAAGUUUUCUAUAACAGAUUACGGGUGUGAAAAUCCUAUAAAAGAUAUUUUCCUAUUUUAUUUUAAAAUAUUUUUUUUAGAUAUUAUCUUUUUAAUUUCAAAAUAUAUAUUUUUUUUAAGAUAACGAAUUUUAUUUUUCUAUUUAAUUUCAAAAAUUUAUUUCCUAACAGAUUUUAUUUUUCGAUUUUAAUUUCAAAAUUAAUUUUUGCAUUAGAGAUUAUUGUUAAUUAUUUAUCAUUUAAAGCAUAUCUUUCUUAAUAGCGUGAUUUAUUAUUUUAAAUUUUUUAGAUACAUAUUUGGCAAUCAUAUAAAAUAUGGCCUAAAAUUAAAAAAUAAUUUAAAAUUAUUAUAACUUUUUCUAAUAAUUAUUAUGUGUAUUUGCACGUACAUUUUACUAGUAUAUAUAUAUAUAUAUAUCUUAU
rnacentral:lncRNA from 1 species